ACGCAGUGGUAAUUUGAGCCGGCCGGCUUGCAGCCACUUAAAAUAAAUAGCUAAAAGGUCGGGAGC
rnacentral:ncRNA from 1 species